UGUUUCGGCAAGGGGGUCAUCCCGACUUACCAACCCGAUGCAAACUGCGAAUACCGGAGAAUGUUAUCACGGGAGACACACGGCGGGUGCUAACGUCCGUCGUGAAGAGGGAAACAACCCAGACCGCCAGCUAAGGUCCCAAAGUCAUGGUUAAGUGGGAAACGAUGUGGGAAGGCCCAGACAGCCAGGAUGUUGGCUUAGAAGCAGCCAUCAUUUAAAGAAAGCGUAAUAGCUCACUGGUCGAGUCGGCCUGCGCGGAAGAUGUAACGGGGCUAAACCAUGCACCGAAGCUGCGGCAGCGACGCUUAUGCGUUGUUGGGUAGGGGAGCGUUCUGUAAGCCUGUGAAGGUGUGCUGUGAGGCAUGCUGGAGGUAUCAGAAGUGCGAAUGCUGACAUAAGUAACGAUAAAGCGGGUGAAAAGCCCGCUCGCCGGAAGACCAAGGGUUCCUGUCCAACGUUAAUCGGGGCAGGGUGAGUCGACCCCUAAGGCGAGGCCGAAAGGCGUAGUCGAUGGGAAACAGGUUAAUAUUCCUGUACUUGGUGUUACUGCGAAGGGGGGACGGAGAAGGCUAUGUUGGCCGGGCGACGGUUGUCCCGGUUUAAGCGUGUAGGCUGGUUUUCCAGGCAAAUCCGGAAAAUCAAGGCUGAGGCGUGAUGACGAGGCACUACGGUGCUGAAGCAACAAAUGCCCUGCUUCCAGGAAAAGCCUCUAAGCAUCAGGUAACAUCAAAUCGUACCCCAAACCGACACAGGUGGUCAGGUAGAGAAUACCAAGGCGCUUGAGAGAACUCGGGUGAAGGAACUAGGCAAAAUGGUGCCGUAACUUCGGGAGAAGGCACGCUGAUAUGUAGGUGAAGUCCCUUGCGGAUGGAGCUGAAAUCAGUCGAAGAUACCAGCUGGCUGCAACUGUUUAUUAAAAACACAGCACUGUGCAAACACGAAAGUGGACGUAUACGGUGUGACGCCUGCCCGGUGCCGGAAGGUUAAUUGAUGGGGUCAGCGCAAGCGAAGCUCUUGAUCGAAGCCCCGGUAAACGGCGGCCGUAACUAUAACGGUCCUAAGGUAGCGAAAUUCCUUGUCGGGUAAGUUCCGACCUGCACGAAUGGCGUAAUGAUGGCCAGGCUGUCUCCACCCGAGACUCAGUGAAAUUGAACUCGCUGUGAAGAUGCAGUGUACCCGCGGCAAGACGGAAAGACCCCGUGAACCUUUACUAUAGCUUGACACUGAACAUUGAGCCUUGAUG
rnacentral:rRNA from 1 species